GGGAGCCGGAUGCGUAGAAAUACGCACGUCCGGAUCUAAACGAGAGGGGCGGAGCAUAAUAGCUCCCCUCGACUCAAC
rfam:Crocosphaera watsonii WH 8501 ctg139, whole genome shotgun sequence.